UACGAAGGGGGCUAGCGUUGUUCGGAUUUACUGGGCGUAAAGCGCACGUAGGCGGACUAUUAAGUCAGGGGUGAAAUCCCGGGGCUCAACCCCGGAACUGCCUUUGAUACUGGUAGUCUUGAGUUCGAGAGAGGUGAGUGGAAUUCCGAGUGUAGAGGUGAAAUUCGUAGAUAUUAGGAAGAACACCGGUGGCGAAGGCGGCUACCUGGACCGGUUCUGACGCUGAUGCGCGAAAGCGUGGGAUAGGCAAACAAGG
rnacentral:rRNA from 1 species